rnacentral:rRNA from 1 species
UAGUGGCGAACGGGUGAGUAACACGUGGGCAAUCUGCCCUUCACUCUGGGACAAGCCCUGGAAACGGGGUCUAAUACCGGAUACCACUCCUGUCCGCAUGGGCAGGGGUUGAAAGCUCCGGCGGUGAAGGAUGAGCCCGCGGCCUAUCAGCUUGUUGGUGGGGUAACGGCCCACCAAGGCGACGACGGGUAGCCGGCCUGAGAGGGCGACCGGCCACACUGGGACUGAGACACGGCCCAGACUCCUACGGGAGGCAGCAGUGGGGAAUAUUGCACAAUGGGCGAAAGCCUGAUGCAGCGACGCCGCGUGAGGGAUGACGGCCUUCGGGUUGUAAACCUCUUUCAGCAGGGAAGAAGCGAAAGUGACGGUACCUGCAGAAGAAGCGCCGGCUAACUACGUGCCAGCAGCCGCGGUAAUACGUAGGGCGCAAGCGUUGUCCGGAAUUAUUGGGCGUAAAGAGCUCGUAGGCGGCUUGUCACGUCGGAUGUGAAAGCCCGAGGCUUAACCUCGGGUCUGCAUUCGAUACGGGCUAGCUAGAGUGUGGUAGGGGAGAUCGGGAAUUCCU